rnacentral:rRNA from 1 species
ACCUGCCCAUUGAGAUUUAAAAGGCCGCGGUAUUAUGACCGUGCUAAGGUAGCAUAAUCAUUAGUCUUUUAAUUGGAGGCUGGAAUGAAUGGUCGGACAAGAGAUAAGCUGUCUUAAGUAAAAAUAUUGAAUUUAACUUUUAAGUGAAAAGGCUUAAAUUUUCUAGGGGGACGAUAAGACCCUAUAAAACUUUAUAUUUUGAAAUAAUAAUUAAUUUUAUAUGGGAGUUUUAUUUUUAAAUAUUUUAUUGGGGUGAUAAGGAUAAAAUAACAAAUAACUGUCUUUUUUUAUUACAAUAAUAUUUGAGCAAAUGAACCUAGUAAGGGAAAGAAGAUUAAGUUACUUUAGGGAUAACAGCGUAAUUUUUUUUAAGAGUUCUUAUCGACAAGAAAGUUUGCGACCUCGAUGUUGAAUUAAAAGUUCUUUAUAGAGCAGAAACUAUAAAAGAAGGUCUGUUCGACCUUUAAAAUUUUAC